ensembl:lncRNA
UGCUACUGCUGUGAUAGCCAGUCCUGCCAGGCUGUCCCAGACAGACGGUGUCAAUGGUGGCGCCACACAGGGCAAGCUGUCCACAUCUGAGUGCCAGUGAACCCAACUGACACACUGAAGGAACCAUUUUCACCACAGCUUUACUUCAGCUAUGGCACAGAAAACUGUUGUUCUGAUUUUACACAACACCACUUUUGGGGUUUUGAUCAUUAUCUGCUAGUCUUCUGUAGCCAGAUGAGACUCUGUACCCUCGCAUUCGCUCUGCAUCCUGGCUAGAAGAACCUAGAAGCCUGGCACGCUAACCAAUGAGGGGAGGCUUUACAUUUCCAGCAUUGUGGUUAAUUGCCACACACUGAAGUCUAUACUGACCAUUCAUGGAAUUAACUACUUACUAUACAAUUGCAUUCAAAUUUGGGUGGGUCACUUUCAUUUUUUAACUGGCCCUCACAUGGCCCUCACAGUUGAAGUGUACCUAUGAUAAAAAUUACAGACCUCUCACUAAUAUUUUUGUUUCUUAUUCCAGGGAGAGCCAGGUCCUGAUGGGAUUGUUGGAUUCCCUGGCGUUAAUGGACGACAGGGAAAAACAGGUGCAGAUGGGCCUGCAGAUCCAAAAGGGGAUUGAUCGCGUUCGCCGGCUGGGAUCCGAUCCAUUGUCCUGGGUUGGAAGGCAAAACACAGGAUCCGCUUCAGGAAAGUCAUAUUCCUGGUCGUAAUGACGGGGAUCAAAGUAUAUAAGAGAGGUGACAAGGGUGACCCAGGAUUUAAAGGGGACCAGGUAAAUGAGGCUUUAAAGGCAGAGGAUGGGCAUCAGGGCUGCUGGGUAAUGUUGGACCAGUGGGCACCCCUGGAUUUCCUGGAACCAGAGGUUAUGAUGGAAUAAUUGGGGUGAAUGGUAAGCAAGGAAAAGAUGGGCCAAAGGGUGACAGAGGUCCUACCGGUGGAGAAAGCAUUGAUAGACCUAGAGGCGAUAAGGGAGAGAUUGGGAAAUCAGGAAAGAGAGGAGCUGAAGGAGACCUGGUAUUAAGGGGAGGCCAGGAAUUCCAGGACUCACUGGACUAAAAGGGCUGAAGGUGAAACUUUUACUUCAGGGUGCAGUCUUGCCACACUUGGACGUGCUGAUAUUACCAAUAGAGGGCCAGAAUUCAAGUGAAAACUCGAGAAAAAUGGAAUGGAAUGGAACAGGUCUUUCUUCACUUAGGGACUUCCAAGGCCAUCUUGGGGGGACCCAUCGGAGGAACUGCAUCUGACGGGAAUUCCGGAUCUACCAGACUAAGGGUGGACUCCAAGGAUGAUUAAUGGAAAAAGGAUGCACUUGAGAUCAAUUUUGAGGCUCAUAGUAAAGGGUCUGGAGCAACAGGGAUUCAAGGUCCAGUUGGGAAGAGUGGGGAUUCUGGAAGUAGAGGAAUCACUGGCAACCAGGAAAGCCAGGAGUCAAGGGUGCCAAAGGCAAAGAGGGUUCUAAUGGGCUUCCAGGGAAUCCUGGAGUUAAGGGAAUCCGAGGUCAGGAGGGUCUAAGGGGGAAACAAGGAAGCACAGGCCUACAGGGAUUGACAGGGAUACAGGGAUAUAGAGGAGCUCAUGGCAUAGCAGACAAUAUAGGACCAUGGGGUGAGGUGGGCCUCCAAGGGCCACCAUGGAAGAAGGGGCCCCCAGGACCAGUUGGGCCCCGUGGAGUUAUAGGUUACCCAGGUAAAGACGGACCACCCGGAGGCAUUGGGCCAGUGACAGACAAAGGGGAUAAGGGGUCCAGAGGAGCUAUUGGACAGAAGGGAGUUGCUGGUGUCGAUGGUGAGGAGGGCCCAACUGGAUUACGGGGGCCAGUGGGGCCACCAGGACUAAAGGGACUACCGGGUGAAAAGGGGAAGAUGGGAGCUCGUGGGGAAAGAGGUGAAAAAUGAAUCCAGGGAGAUGGAGGCAACCAAGGUCAACAAGGACCAAAGGGCCCACUGGGAAAGAAGGAUACUCAGGGCCCUCAGGGGACAGAGGGAGCAAAUGAGUUCCAGGACUAAAGGGCCAGUAGGGCAUCAGAGGCCCAUCAGGCCUAGCUGGGCACUAUGGACCAGGGGGCAACACCGGAGAAGGAGGGGCCAAAGGAGAGAAGGGGCUCCCUGGAACCAUAGGGCCUCCUGGAAGGUUUGGGCCUACAGGCUUAGUGGGACCAAAAUGAUCAACAGUCCAAGAAGGAAGAAAGGGGACAUUGGGAAAGAGGGGGUUAACCGGGUCUCCAGGAGGUAAAGGCAGACCUGGGCCUGCUGGUCCCCUUGGAGAGAAAGGUGGUAAAGGAAUAGAAGGGCCAAAGCCCAGGAAAGAAAGGAACAAGGGAGUUAGAGGCAAACCGGGAGAAGGCCCAUUGGGACCGGAUGGACCAGUUGGAAGACCUGGAAAGCCAGGACUUGCUGGUUUGGAUGGAUUGUUGGGGGUUGAAGGAAACGAAGGAGAUAAUGGUGAUAUUGGUUACAGAGGAACCCCUGGGAGGCCAGGUAUGCCAGGGAAAAUGGGUCAAAUUGGACGAACUGUAUUUGACCAAUUGAGAUACCCAACGAAGGGUAAUCUUGGAUCUAAAGGAAAACAAGCACCUGCAGGGCCAAUGGGGCAAAGGGCUAUUCCAGGGCUUGGAGGAGAGAAGGGGACAUUUGGCCAGCAUGGCUCAAAGGGUCAGAGGCCUACAGGGACAUAUUGGACCACGUAGAGUUAAAGGGAAUCCAGGACUGCAAGGGAAUAAAGGGCGGCUAGGUUCAAAAGGCAUACAGGGAGACAUUGGUCCUCGCAGUCCACCUGGGAAAAAGGGCUUCCCUGGUCAACCUGAUCUGUUAGGAAAGAGAGGAUACAAGGUAUGCCUGGAGCUAAGGGGGUGAGAGGGGAAAUCAGGUCCUCCUGGCCGUCCAAGAAAUAGGCGACCUGAAUCCCUUGGAAAAAAAGAAUAAGAUUUUAAAAACAAAACCGGACCAUGACCAGGAGAACGCUUGACUCUGACCAUCACUCAAGCAGCUCCUUCAGCUGGCCUCAGGGCACCAAAGACAGCCCUGCAACAAGCUGGGGCUGAUUCAUCCACACCUGCAGGAUGGAAACUUUUAUGUGGACCCUAAGCAGGGCUGCCUGUUUGAUGCCCUGCAAGUGUACCUGUAACUUCACUGUAGGAGGGAUGACCUGUAUACCUCCUGUGUUGUCACAAGUGGAGGUACGAGUAUGGGGGAGCACAGAGAUCCAUAGAGGGGACUUGGAGCUGUUGCCCCUCAGGGAUGUUAGUGCGGAGGGAAGGGGAGAUCACUGGGACACAGACCUCAGAGCUGUCCUGAGACCUUUGUGCUUUUUGUAGCCUCCAUUUAUCCAGAGAGAAGAAGCAAGCACUGCCCAGUGUAUGGGGCAAGAUCAUUUGGCUGCAAUUCCUCAUCAGGACAAAAGAAUGUUGUCUCAUCAUGUUGUCUGUUCGCUGCAGCGCUUAUGUAUAAUUGCGAUAACAACUAGCUGUACUGUAUGAUGAAAUAUGUAUUUUGGAGAGAUUGAUAUAAUGUGUAUUUUAUAAAGAAAAAUAUAUAGCUGUUGUGUUGUUUGUAUCUCCUGCAUAUCGAUUAUUUUUUAUUUAUUCAUUUCUCAGUGAUGUACUGUGUGUGCUAAUAUAUGCUUCAUAUUUGAUUAAUGUGGAUGUUUUAAGAAUGUAAUGUACUCAUUUGUAUUUUAUUGUUUAAGUGUUUGUAAAUAUAUCUUUGCUAAUAUUUUAUCUCUUGUUUUUUAUUCUUGCAAACGAAUACCAGAAAACUUGAUGACCUCCCAUAUCUGGAUGGUCUAAACUUGUUGUACAUUGAUAUGUCACUUCAGCAUACUUUACAAUCACUUUCUUUAUCACACAUUUUAUGGUUUACAGCUAUAAUGCAAUAAACCGCAGUACACCCUGUUGUCACAAAUGGAAUGAACUGAAAUACAGUUGAAGUCUGAAGUUUUCAUACACUGAGGUUGUAGUCAUUUCAACUCGUU